rnacentral:rRNA from 1 species
AGUGAACGCUGGCGGUAGGCCUAACACAUGCAAGUCGAACGGCAGCACAGUAAGAGCUUGCUCUUACGGGUGGCGAGUGGCGGACGGGUGAGGAAUACAUCGGAAUCUACCUUUUCGUGGGGGAUAACGUAGGGAAACUUACACUAAUACCGCAUACGACCUUCGGGUGAAAGCAGGGGAUGUUCGGACCUUGCGCGAUUGAAUGAGCCGAUGUCGGAUUAGCUAGUUGGCGGGGUAAAGGGCCACCAAGGCGACGAUCCGUAGCUGGUCUGAGAGGAUGAUCAGGCACACUGGAACUGAGACACGGUCCAGACUCCUACGGGACGCAGCAGUGGGGAAUAGUAGACAAUGGGCGCAAGCCUGGCCCAGCCCUACCGCGUGGGUGAAGAAGGCCUUCGGGUUGUAAAGCCCUUUUGUUGGGAAAGAAAAGCAGCAGGUUAAUACCCCGCUGUUCUGACGGUACCCAAAGAAUAAGCACCGGCUAACUUCGUG